CAUGAAAUCAGGUUUCAUAAGAUGGCUGAAUCCAGCUGACUGCACAGGCCCUGGGGAGGGUAACAGGACAGUAAGGAGCAUUCAGCUCCAAGUUCCUGGUUCUAAUGAAGCCUGGGCAGGUAGAGAUUGAAAGUGGUUACUAUGAGAUGGCUGGUAGAUAGACCAGUCAGUCAUUUCAUACAGGCUAAGUUCAUGUCUUAAUGAAUAGAUGCACACACAUUAAUCACACUAACUGGCUUCUUUAUUAGUAGUCCUAAAAAAGAAGCCAAGGAAUGAAUGGGCUACGUCUUGGGAUUCUCUCCAAGACCUUUUCCACUUGGCUUAUUCAAAGCACCUUGUCCAGUUCUGGAAGAACAUUUUGUCCAGCUUUCUGGGAUCCAAAAAACCUCAGUUCAACUCCAGCUCAUCACUCAGGUUACUUUUAUUAGGCAUGUAACAGCCCUAAACCCAUGCUGGCCAGGCCCCGAUACAGGUGGCUUAGACACAGGGUAACACCAUAAUUCCAAACCAUAUCACACACAAUGCACAUUUUUACUAGCUACUAACAUCUAUACUAUUUGAAUCUGGUUUGGACAUUGUAUAGAUCAUGUAAGGACCAAGUACUUUGCAAAUCAUGUAAGGACCAAUCACUUAUGUCCUCACCUUAUCUGCAUUUGAAACUUAUCAGUUCAGAGAGUUCCCAGUUACCUCAACUCGCCUGAAAACACCAUCUCCUGCACACAGCCUGUCACACCCUAUUUACAGUUUAACCUUGCACUCAAAUCAAGCUAUGUGCAAGCUUAGUCAUGCCCAGCCAGAUCUAUAGCAACUGAACUAAUCUUUCAUCCCUAGAGGCAAUCCCUCUUAAGGUCAUGGUUGAAGCACAUCAGCAGGGAACCUUGUACCAGGACAUCCCUUGUUCUGCAGGGCUGCCAAUGUUGUAUUUUACUAGCACAAAUUCACACAUACAGUAUUUAUUUUUUUUAAAUAAAGGACCCAAACCUCUGCAAUGAAGGUUCCAAAGGCUUAAAAAAAGGAAAGUGCUCAUAACACCAAGACUUAGUGCGUAUAAUUACCUGUGCACCAUGUUGAAAAUGUGCUGGUAAGAUAAUGCAAGGAUAUCUGCCAAGUCUGAGAGCCUUCUGGGAUCAGCUGGACAAUCCACUGACUCUCCUCCAUCAGUCUGAUACAAAGUCCACUGAAUUCAAGAGAAUACGAAAUCAGAGCAGGCUCCCAUCCCCCCAUAUGGCUUCUGGGACAUCAACAGCUGGCCAGGAUAUUCUGCACAGAGCCUCUGCAGUAGCUCUGGUCAAUGGAGCAGCACUGCUGGGGAUUCACCUGGCCAUGGCUGCCAUAAAACACACACAGAUAAUACUAUCAGGUUUGUAGUUUAGAUUAAUUCUGGUUUGAUGGAAAAUCCUACAUCGAAUUUGUAGUCACACUGAGAAUAUAACAAAAAGCAGAGUUGUUUCUACUGGAGAUUUAAUUUUAUACAAGAUAAAAAAAUUAAAGAGCACCCUAGAAAUCUUCAGUUUGUACAAGAAUAACUAAUAAGGGUAAGUUUUCACUAUAUAAACAUGAACCAGAUACAAGCGACCAUUUAGAAGGGAUGGUUCCAAUUUCAAUAUUUACUUAUCAUUGUGCACAUUCAAAAUCAAUAGUGUGUUCCUUUGAUAUUAUUCCCCCCACACCAUCAUUUCUAGUGGAAUGUAUGUUUAAUAUAGACCUGGCGUAAAUAUUUAAUUUCCACACAUAGAACAGCAAAAUCCAAUCCAUUACUAUGGGUCACGACCCCUUCAGAACAGGGACACAGCUCAUAAAAUAGUAAGUAUAAGAAGCCAAACCAUUUCUCAGAAGACAAGGUUACAUGAACUACAAAAUAGGGAACUCAAUUACCAUAAGUUACAGUAGAUAUUUUAAAUUAAUGAAAUGAACUGGUAUUUUUCAUUGGUUUUCAUUCACUCAAUUAUCUGUAUAUUUUGUUGCUUGAAUUGCAUCAUCGACCAGACUUGUGCAAACAUAACUAUAAUAUUCCUGUUUAUUUCAUGUUCAGCAAGUUGUUGUAAAACAUUUCAAGCUUCUUCUCACUGGGACCACAGGACUCCACAUCAGUGAGACAGGCCAGAAGAACAAAAGAAGAAAAAAUACUGGCAAGGAGAGCAGUCAUCUCUUUUGAGCUACACAGAGCUGAAGAAUGUUGCAAGGAAGGCUCCUCCCCAACUCUGGGGGCACAAGGACACAGAUGGUGCCUUCCUUCUCCAUUCCCCCACCCCGACCGUGGCCUUGGUGAAAAAGAACUCCACAGGGGGGCCAGCCAGUGACUCAUCUGGAGGAGCAGUGACAGAAGCACCUACAGUUUUGACUGGACUUCCUCUGCUCUGUGCUAAUUGGCUGUUUGCUGCAAACCUGCCUCUCCCCGUCUCAUCUCAGCUUCACUCCACAACUGUCCUCCCUUCUCCUGCCCCUGUCGUGCUCGCUCAUCUUCCUUUCUCUUUAGCUUAUCCCCUCCCAACUCCCCUCCCCUCACAAAAAUGUCGUGGCACUGAAGUGAUGGCUUGUGCCAUCACACUGCUUUGCAUGUUAUUCCUCCCCGCCCCACACUCUCUGUCUGCCUGGCCUAUUUAGACUGCAAGCCCUUCAGGGGGCAGGGAUUGCCAACUACUCUGUACAGCGCACCACUCUUCAUUGGUCCUUAGGCACUGCUGUAAUAAACAUGAUUAAUAAUAUUAAAUACAAAAUCUUGCAGGCAUUCUCAGUUCCGAAGCUACUACCAGGGUCUAACCAUCUCCUUAGUACCAUACUGAACAUGGGCAUUUAUAAAACAUUCCAAGUUUCUGAAACUUUUUAGCAGCACAGAAAAGAAAGACAAGGGCAUUUUUAUUUGACUUUUGUUCACACAAACCUUUUUACUGAAGAGUGUUAGAAUCACACAUGUUGACUGUUUCGUAAAGAAUAAUAAUUCAGCUGUAAACAGUCACAAACAUAAAAGCUUAAAAAUACUUCAAACAAGAGUAGGAACAGCAAAAAAAAGGAAUGAGCAUCUGCCUCUUUUCUUUUUAAUAAAGAAAUAUUUCAAGUUGACAUCAGUGCAUAUUAAGAAAUAGCAUACAAUGCUCCCAACACCCAAUACAUGAGCAAAUUCAUAACAAUUUUCAAAAAUGUAUAAACUAAUUGUGAGGAAAAAAAAUUGUGUAAGAGUAGUCAGGAGAAUGACAUUCAAAAUAAACAGACCGGUUGCUUUGUUUCACUGAAUCAGUUAUAUUCUAGAUAGUUUAACAUGAAAGAGCCAAAACUGUAGUCAUUAGGACCUUCAAAAGAGCAGUAAUUUUGCUACAAGUCAGUUAAGCAGUUUGCAUUUAUUUUUGUUGUACAGUUAAGUAUUAUUCUUAACUUUUGGACUGUUACAUAAAAUCAUGACACAGUGAGGUUUCAUUGUAAAUUUACAUUUCAUACGUCAAAGUCAGAUUAACAGGAGAACACUGCGUUCUGAUUGUAUCCAUUGGCCAUUCUGUUGAGAAUAGCACAAGCUGUAUGACACAUA